CGUGGAAGAAGAACAUCAGGGAUUGCCUCAGUAACGGCGAGUGAAGCGGCAACAGCUCAAAUUUGAAAUCUGGCUCCUUUCAGGCGUCCGAGUUGUAAUUUGUAGAGGAUGCUUCGGCUUACGCCCCGGUCUAAGUUCCUUGGAACAGGACGUCACAGAGGGUGAGAAUCCCGUUUGUGGCCGGCGGCUUCCGCCAUGUGAAGCUCCUUCGACGAGUCGAGUUGUUUGAGAAUGCAGCUCUAAAUGGGAGGUAUAUUUCUUCUAAAGCUAAAUACCGGCCAGAGACCGAUAGCGCACAAGUAGAGUGAUCGAAAGAUGAAAAGCACUUUGGAAAGAGAGUUAAAAAGUACGUGAAAUUGUUGAAAGGGAAGCGCUUGCGACCAGACUUGCCCGCGGAUGCUCAGCCGGUCCUUCGGCCGGUGCACUCUUCCGCGGUCAGGCCAGCAUCAGUUCGGGCGGUCGGAUAAAGGCCUCGGGAAUGUGGCUCCUCUCGGGGAGUGUUAUAGCCCUUGGUGCAAUACGGCCCGCCUGGACUGAGGCCCGCGCUUCGGCUAGGAUGCUGGCGUAAUGGUCGUAAGCGGCCCGUCUUGAAACACGGACCAAGGAGUCUAACAUCUAUGCGAGUGUUUGGGUGUCAAACCCGUGCGCGAAAUGAAAGUGAACGGAGGUGGGAACCCUCGGGUGCACCAUCGACCGAUCCUGAUGUCUUCGGAUGGAUUUGAGUAAGAGCAUAGCUGUUGGGACCCGAAAGAUGGUGAACUAUGCCUGAAUAGGGUGAAGCCAGAGGAAACUCUGGUGGAGGCUCGCAGCGGUUCUGACGUGCAAAUCGAUC
rnacentral:rRNA from 1 species